UUACGGCUAUAUCACGUUGAAACACAGGUUCUCAGACGAUCACCGAAGUUAAGCAGCUUAGAGCCUGGUCAGUACUCAGAUUGGUAACCACACGGGGAUACUAGGAGUU